rnacentral:tRNA from 1 species
GGGUUUAUAGCUCAGUGGUGGAGCACUUGCCUAGCAUGCAUGAGGCUCUGAGCUCCAUUCUCAAUACAACAA